UAAGUUAUUAAGGGCGCACGGUGGAUGCCUUGGCACUAGAAGCCGAUGAAGGACGUUACUAACGACGAUAUGCUUUGGGGAGCUGUAAGUAAGCUUUGAUCCAGAGAUUUCCGAAUGGGGAAACCCAACAUGAGUUAUGUCAUGUUAUCGAUAUGUGAAUACAUAGCAUAUCAGAAGGCACACCCGGAGAACUGAAACAUCUUAGUACCCGGAGGAAGAGAAAGAAAAUUCGAUUCCCUUAGUAGCGGCGAGCGA
rnacentral:rRNA from 1 species